GAGUAGGAGAGUUUGAUCCUGGCUCAGAAAGAACGCUCGUACGAUGCCUUAUACAUGCAAGCGGAGUGUUUCAAAAAGAGAAACACCGCGCACGGGCGAGGAAUGCUUUCGAAUCUACCCCACGGACUCUAGGAAUUAGGGAUAAUGAAAGGCCUUUUAAAAGGUGCCGAGGGAGGGGCGAAAGAUAGGAUUAGGUAGUUGGUGUGGUAAGAGCGCACCAAGCCAAAGAUCCUUAGCGGGCCUGAGAGGGUGAUCCGCCGCACUAGGACUGAGAAACGGCCUAGACUCCAAAGGAGGCAGCAGUAGGGAAUAUUGGACAAUGGCUGAGAGGCUGAUCCAGCAAUCGUACGUGAGUGAAGAAGGUCAUUCGAUUGUAAAGCUCGCAAGACUAUUUGUAAAAAGAACGGAUAGUAAGAAAGCCCCGGCCAACUUCGUGCCAGCAGCCGCGGUAAUACGAAGGGGGCGAGUGUUAUUCGAAAAAACUGGGCGUAAAGGGUCCGUAGAGGGUGAGACCGCCGAAGCUUCGAAACGUGGGAAAGACCCGCGAGGAGGUUCGAGCGGAUCACUACGAGGUUUGUAGACGAUCGGGGAAUUUCGGGUGGAGUGAUAAAAUACGUAGAGAUCCGAAGGAACACCAGAGGCGAAGGCGCCGAUCGAUACAAAGCCUGACCUUGAGGGACGAAAGCGUGGGGAGCGAAUGGGAUUAGAGACCCCAGUAGUCCACGCCGUCAACGAUGAGAGAUCCUCGGGGCGAGUUUCAAAGAGAAACCUCCAACCGAGAAACGUAAGCGAAUCUCUCCGCCUGGGGAGUACGCCCGCAAGGGUGAAACGCAAAGGAAUUGACGGGGGCUCGUACAAGCGGUGGAACAUGUGGUUUAAUUCGAAACAACGCGCAAAACCUUACCCAACCUUGACGUUGGAGGGAUUUUUCCUUUGGGAAUCCAAAAGGAAAAGGCUUUUGAAGCUCUUGGAGCAGCAAAAGACAAACUCCUACAGGUGCUGCAUGGCUGUCGUCAGCUCGUGUCGUGAGAUGUCGGGUUAAGUCCUUUCACGAGCGCAACCCCUAUGUGUACUUGGGAAUUUUUCCCUUGCUAAGGAAAAAGAGCCGUACACAGAUGGCUCCUGAAGAAGGAGCGGAAGCUGGGGAUGACGUCAAGUCCUCAUGGCCCUUAUGGUUGGGGCUACACACGUGUUACAAAGGUUCGGACAAUACGAUGCUGCCCCGUAAGGGCGUGGCCAAUCGACAAACCGUGCCGCAGUUCGGAUUGAGCUCUGCAACUCGAGCUCAUGAAGGUGGAAUCGCUCGUAAUCGCGGAUCAGCAUGCCGCGGUGAAAUCGUACUCGAGCCUUGCACAUACCGCCCGUCACACUCCGGGAGAGCGUCUGGCCCGUAGCCCCUGUGCGCUUAGGCCUUUUCCCUUCCACUCCUAGACGAAGAGGAAAGAAAUAAGCAUCCACACGGUCGAAGGACAGAAGUUUAACUGGAGUGAAGUCGUAACAAGGUAAUGGUAGCGGAAGCUGCUGUUGGAAAAAACAUGUC
rnacentral:rRNA from 1 species